rnacentral:snRNA from 1 species
CGGAAACAUCCUCCCAAAACGAAGAACGGGACGGCAAGGUCUCCCAACCAUGGCAAAAGCUCGAACUCCCCUACGUACCAAGCUGCACCCACACUGUCUUCAUAACCUGCG